rnacentral:rRNA from 1 species
AUACGUAGGGGGCGAGCGUUGUCCGGAAUGAUUGGGCGUAAAGGGCGCGUAGGCGGCGCGGUAAGUCUGGAGUGAAAGUCCUGCUUUCAAGGUGGGAAUUGCUUUGGAUACUGCCGCGCUUGAGUGCAGGAGAGGUUAUCGGAAUUCCCGGUGUAGCGGUGAAAUGCGUAGAGAUCGGGAGGAACACCAGUGGCGAAGGCGACUUACUGGACUGUAACUGACGCUGAGGCGCGAAAGUGUGGGGAGCAAACAGGAUUAGAUACCCUGGUAGUCCACACUGUAAACGAUGAAUGCUAGGUGUAGGGGGUAUCGACCCCUUCUGUGCCGCAGUCAACACAAUAAGCAUUCCGCCUGGGGAGUACGGCCGCAAGGUUGAAACUCAAAUGAAUUGGCGGGG